GAGUUCUCCAAGACGGACGGAGCUUUCGAGUUUCGUGCUUCGGCACGUCUCUCGGAGAGCCAAGACAAAUCCAAGUCAUAAGACAAAUCCAAAUCCAAUCAUCACGUGUAGUUCUCUAUAUACUACUUUAUGACAUAUCUUAUUAGUACAUGG
ensembl:ncRNA K10F12.10 ncRNA